CUGGUUUUCAUGUGCAAAAAUGGCGUGGGGAGAAUUUUGCCGAAGUGGCAAAAUGUUUCCCCCCAAAAAAGAUCAACAAUUUUGGUGGUUUUCUAAAAAGAAAAAAAAGCUCAGCUUUGCAGGGGUGUCAGGAAUUUUACUUUUUGAAAUAUGGCAACCCUAAAAAGGGGUGGUGCCGUCCCAUAGAAUCGCACGGGAAAGCUGCAAUCCUGGGCACGUUUCUUUGGGAAUAAGCCCAUUGAAGUCAACAUUUCCUGCUGAGUAAAUAUGCAGAGGGGAUCCCACUGCACUGCAGAGCAAAGCCUCUGCCCAUUUUCCUAGGUGCGGAGCAAAGCAAACAAACGCAAGGAAGGUAUUUGUUCUGUCCGUUUACAACAUCAAAUUCAACAUCACUUCACGAGUGCCUUGUGGUCAGAAAGCCUCUCCUAAUCUAAGUGAGGAUUGUGGUCCGUGCGGAAUCUGGUGGCGAUAGCGUAUUCCAGAGUACAAGGUUGCGCUAUUGUGCUCGUGUCGCACAGCCACCCUUCAAACGUGGCCAGAAUCCGCGCGAGAGCCACGACUCUUUGCCCUACUUCUUUCUCGCCCUCUCCGGGACUCUUCCUGAGGCGGAAAGGCGACGCGCCACCAAACCCCACUGAGGCGAGUGGGACCUUUCCGACCACGAGCGCCUCCAAACGCCCUUUCCUCGUCCCCAGUCAGUACGAGGCAAGGAAGGCGCCUCUCCUGCCUCCCUCCCUCCCUGUCAGAGCCCCCUCGAAAGAGCUCGAAGGGCCGAAUGGACGCGGAGCCCGAGAGCGCGGCUCGGACGCCCCUGGCUCUCUGCCCCUCCCGCCCGGCGAGCCAAGAGGGGCGGCCCCGGCCAUGCCAGUCCCCUGUCUCCGCCCCUCGGCUGGGCCGCUCCUCCUCCUCAGCGCCAGCGCCAGAGAGGCAGCCGGAGAGCGCCAAGCCGAUCGCCUUCGGAGAGUUUCGCGGAGCAGCUGUGCGGGAGGGGGCGGGCGGCACGGAAGGCAGAGACGGGGGUCCGGCGAGACCCCCGAGACCCUGCGCUCCUUUUCCUGCUCCUCGCACGGAGGAGUCGGCUGCAUAGUUGGGGCAUGUUCUGCUUACCGCAGUCUCCACACAGAUCUGCAGUUGUCUUUAAACCAAGAUAGUUGCCAAAUUGCUACGGGAGUGAAGGGAUUUCCAGAUGCUCCAUACUCUCUCCUUCCACAGUUCUUGGUUCUGUGCGUGGUUUAUUCUUAUCUCCUUACUGUGAACUGCAUCCAAAACAUGAAUAUAUGUUCAGUUUUACAAGCUGAUUCUGAAGGUUCUUGUGUGGAGGCCAGCCCUUUUGAUGUCAGCCGCACUUAUCUCCAAGUAAGCAUCCUUAAGACUGCAGCCUUAGCUGACUGUCUUGCUCCCUAUCCUCAGUUCUGAGACUGACCUUCACCAUUUCCGAGUGCAAAUUGUGAAUUCUGAGUAACUCUGUAUAAUGUCAGGAAAGAGAACAGCUGCUUAUCAGGAGAAUUGGAUUACAUGUGCGACAUUGAAAUAGGUGAGUGGGAGGUUGCCUUCAGCCAUUAAUGACAUAAAAAAGAGCAUAUGGAGGGAAAAUUGGUGUAGUUUGCUGAUGAGAUUUGGGGAAAUAUAUAUAAAAGACUUCUAAUUCCCCAUCCAAAUUUUAACUGUUACAGUACAAAUGGUAAUGGUGAGUGAAUUACUGCUGUGGCAAUUAAAUGACGACAUCUAAGGACACAUUGGAUGGGAUCCAAAGAGUCUUUAUAACUGCAAGAAUGCUUAUUUCGUUUAUUUAGCAUUUCUGUACCAUUUAUCUGCAGUUUUCAAAGGAAAAUCCAAGUGCUACUCAAAAUAUAAAUGUUGCAACAAUAAUUUUAAAAAACCCACUUUCAACAAGCAAUAAAACUUCACAAGUAAACUGAAAAACAUUGUUUUUUAAGAGCAAGUGUUGAUAUUGAAAAGCACAGGCGAUAAGGUCAAACCCUUGUUGUGCCACACAAGACAAAGACUAGUGGGGUGGAGCUGCCAUCCUAAAGUGCUCUCUUUUGGUAGCAGUCCAGCAAUUGGGAACAGAUAGACUGCCAGACAGUGCCAUAUACUCCUGAAGAAUUUGAUGAUCAAUUUCAUCAAAAGCCACUGGAAGGUCCAGAAGAGUGAACAGUUUCUUUCCCUCUGUUUCUGUCUCCGUCUGUCUCUUCUCUUCUCUCUCUCUCUCUCUCUCUCUCUCUCUCUCUCUCUCUCUCUCUCUCUCUCUCUCACACACACACACACACACACACACACCAGUUUGUGCAUAGGGACAAAACAAUGUGGCUUCUCACUUUAGCUCAGUUCCAAACUCUGACUGGACUGAGUCUAGAAAAUCCACCUAAUACGAGGAUUACUUGUACUGUCUGCUUGAUCAUUUUCUUCAAGAGAGAGAGGCAAACUUGACCCUAGUUUAUAGUUUUCAGCAGCAGGCAGAUUGCUGCAGACAAACCUGUCUCAACAGGUUACUUUCCGUUGUUGAAAUCAGUGGUUUUCAACCCUUUUUCGUUGAGGGAACCCAUUUAACAGGAAAACAAGUAACUUGGUGAAAGAAAUUGGAGGUGGCAUGACUUCUCAAGACACAGAGACAAAAAAGAAUAAGUAACGAUACAUUUAAUGAGAACAGCAGAACAUUUUCUUUCUGUGGUUUAGGAGCAAAGUAGAAGAAACGUAUAGAGCAAGUUUUGCAUUAUGAAGCUGUUAGGAACCAGCCAUUUCCAAAUGAAAUAAGAAGAUACACUGGUGAUUUGGGUCAUUAACUUGGAAAUCCAUAUAGGAUGCCAUAUUUUGGAUUUCCCAAAGACUGGCUACAUGAUGCACAGGAAACCUUGAGUUGGCAAGGCUCAUCUGACUGCAGCAGGAAACCAAGCCUUUAAUGUCGUCGGCCUGGUCCUGGGGAAUGCUGUGCCAGUAGAGAUUCAGCAGUCGCUUCCUGUUUUGGCCUUUAAAUGUCUGCAGAAAACAUUUGUAUGCCACCUAGCUUCUGCACUCAAUUAAGGAAUUACUGUAAUGCCUAGCUGAUCUCAGAUUUUAAAUUUUACAUGCUUUCUAUUGUAUAUGUGUAUGGUUGUUGCAAACUGUUUAUAUAUUUUUUAAUUAAAAGCAGUAUGCAAAUAUUUUUAAUGAAUGAAUGAAUGAAUGGACAGUUCCCUGCCUCAUAGGCCAGAACGUGGGUUUGACAAGCUUGUUGUGCCUUUUAGGAACAAGAAAGGAGGAAGAGAGUUGUAGCAAAAAAAAUUCCUUGUGAGUGAGUGAGUGUUUUAAGAAAAUAAUAUUUCUUAGGUUCAGAUGUCUGUAUCACUUUGAGUGCAGUUUCUUUCCUUAAUAUGUAUGCAAUCAGGGCCAUAUCACAGUUACAAUACACAUUUAUAAUUGUGGUUUGUGCUUAUGGUUUUAACUCUUAUUUGGGAUCAGUUCAAAGUGCUGGAGAACCUGUGUUGAGAAAGCAUGUGGUUCAGGGAAGCCAUUACACAAUUAAAAAGGAAGUAAGUCAGGUGGGUCUAUAAAUUAAAUGCAGUAGUUCUAAAUGGAUUUAAUGAAAAAAAUAGAAUGGACGUUUAUGUAGGAAACUGAAAAUGUAUGCUCAUUGAGAAUAAUGUUAGUAAAUGUCUUGCCAUUGUUGAUUUUAUGCUGUAUUAAUACAUAUGUUUACUGAAUACAAGUUAAUGUAAGUUUUUUCAGAAGCCAUGGAAUGGCUAAGCAAUGCAGUUGUACACCUGAUUACAAUUGUGAAAUCAGGUGUGCAUGUUGUGUUAGGUAUAAUAACCUUAGCAGAACCUUUGCAUGAUCUUACAGGACUUAUCAAAUUCCAUGUCUGUACAUUGCUGAGUGUGUUGUGAAUAUGUGUGUAUACAAAAAUUGAUUCUUUUAAAUAUGAUUUUAAUAUACUUUUCUUAACUGGUGAUUCUGUAAAUUAUUGCAAGCUGAAGACACUGGCUAUCUUGAGAUAAAUGGUGAGCACAUUAUUAUUUUAAGUUUUAAGUAUUGUGAAGAUAAAUGGUCAAUUUGUUCAUUAUAUUUUUUAAUACAACUGU
rnacentral:lncRNA from 1 species